rnacentral:antisense_RNA from 1 species
GGGCCGGGGGCGGGAACCGGCUCGGAUGCUCAGGGACGGUGGGGGUGGCAGGGCCCGCCGCCCUGAGGCUGCCUUUCCGCGCAUUCCCUCGUUUAUUGGCUCACUCUUCCUUUCAUCCAUCCUCCUUUGCGCAGCAAUAUUUGAUGGGAAGCCUGCCAAGGAAUUAAAUUUUGUUCAGACAUCCACUGUUCACCUUCUCAGCCCCUGUUUGCCUGUAACUACAAAGCAGUUUUCAAAUUACUCCAUUUGAUUCUCACAAGAACACCGUAAAUGGAAAAGACUAGAAUUGCCCUGAGUUCACAGAUUGGUCAUUGAGGUCAAAGAAAUCAAGUGACUUCUGGAGGCCACACAGCUAAUAAACAGCAAGGCAACGACUUGAACCCAGGUCUUCUGGUUCCAGGGAGAAAGACACGUGGGCAAGAGAAUACCAUGUGGAGACACAGAUACACGAGGGGAGGAUGCCUGCUGACCAU